GACGAACGCUGGCGGCGUGCCUAAUACAUGCAAGUAGAACGCACAGUUUAUACCGUAGCUUGCUACACCAUAGACUGUGAGUUGCGAACGGGUGAGUAACGCGUAGGUAACCUGCCUGGUAGCGGGGGAUAACUAUUGGAAACGAUAGCUAAUACCGCAUAAUAUUAAUUAUUGCAUGAUAAUUGAUUGAAAGGUGCAAUUGCACCACUACCAGAUGGACCUGCGUUGUAUUAGCUAGUAGGUGAGGUAACGGCUCACCUAGGCGACGAUACAUAGCCGACCUGAGAGGGUGAUCGGCCACACUGGGACUGAGACACGGCCCAGACUCCUACGGGAGGCAGCAGUAGGGAAUCUUCGGCAAUGGACGAAAGUCUGACCGAGCAACGCCGCGUGAGUGAAGAAGGUUUUCGGAUCGUAAAGCUCUGUUGUAAGAGAAGAACGGGUGUGAGAGUGGAAAGUUCACACUGUGACGGUAUCUACCA
rnacentral:rRNA from 1 species